AUUUUCUGGAUGAAGGUUCCUCUGGCAUGGGCUGUCAGGGAUGUCAAAUGGCUCAUUGAGAAAGCCUCUGCUCAGCAUGCCAACAGAAGACACUGCUUUUCCACAUCUACUCUGAUGUCAGGGAAGAGGUGUCCCUGGGUGCUACAGCCGUGGGCAUGAUAGAGACCAACCAGGAGAGGCAAGGCCCUAAACUAAUUAAAGAGUAGCACUAUGUGUCUCAGAGGGUGAAAGAAGAUGGAGGAACGCCUCUGAGACUGAAAGGAGUAGAGCUGCUAGAUCUGAAAUGCAGACUAAAACAGCAGGAAAAAUGGAACAACGCGUGGACACUCUGGACUGCUGACCAAAUGCUGGAGAGGCUUCCUCUGCUCUCUGGUAUCCUCUUGGAUGAAGUUGGGUGAGGAUGUCUCCAAAACAAUCAAAAUUUUGUGUCCCUCCAGCCUGGCAAAAUGAGAGCAUCAAACCCAGAUGUAAGUUGAUUUUAAUAAAAGAAAGCCAUUCAAUAUUCUCGUAUAUCUGAGUUUGUUGCUUGAGAUUCACAACAAGCUACACAGGCUUAGCUGCCCUUAGGUUUUUUAAUUUGUCCCAGAAACCUUUAAAUGCAUUCCUCUUUAUUUGAUUUUUUAAGUUAACUCAAAGUGAAUUUGUUACUUGCACCCAAAAGGACCCUACCUAAAACAUAGGUUCUAUCUGUGCAGCCACAUUCAUUUCUGAAACUAUCUUCUUUUAUCUCUGGCUAGGAAUGUUUUAAAUCAUAUUGUCAGACUCAUUUUGAGGGUCCUGUUAUCCAACUUGAGGUGUUUUGCUUUUUUGAAGAGUCAGUUCCCGGGAUCAAGUUCAUAUUUCACUUCCCGUUUGACAGCUGCAUUAUCAAAGUUUAGCGCCUGGGGUUUCCUCUCUUCACCCCCUGCAGAUUCCAUGCUGACCUGUUUCUUUCAUUUCCUCAUCAUUUCCAGGCA
rnacentral:lncRNA from 1 species